CUGGUUGAUCCUGCCAGAGGCUACUGCUAUCGGGGUCCGAUUAAGCCAUGCGAGUUGAGAGGGGUAAGCCCUCGGCAUAUUGCUCAGUAACACGCGGAUAACCUGCCCUUGGGUUCGGGAUAACCCCGGGAAACUGGGACUAAUACCGGAUAGAUCAAAGAAACUGGAAUGUUCUCUGGUUUAAAACUCUGGUGCCCAAGGAUGGGUCUGCGGCCUAUCAGGUAGUAGUGGGUGUAACGUACCUACUAGCCUGCGACGGGUAAGGGUUGUGAGAGCAAGAGCCCUGAGAUGGAUUCUGAGACAUGAAUCCAGGCCCUACGGGGUGCAGCAGGCGCGAAAACUUUACACUGCGGGAAACCGCGAUAAGGGGACCCCGAGUGCCAGCACCUAGUGCUGGCUGUCCAGCUGUCCAAAUAACAGUUGUUAGCAAGGGCCGGGCAAGACCGGUGCCAGCCGCCGCGGUAACACCGGCGGCCCGAGUGGUAGCCGUUAUUAUUGGGUUUAAAGGGUCCGUAGCCGGCCUAUUAAGUCUCUUGGGAAAUCUGGCGACUCAAUCGUCAGUCGUCCAAGAGAUACUGGUAGGCUUGGGACCGGGAGAGGUGGGAGGUACUCCAGGGGUAGGGGUGAAAUCUCGUAAUCCUUGGGGGACCACCGAUGGCGAAGGCAUCCCACCAGAACGGGUCCGACGGUGAGGGACGAAAGCUGGGGGCACGAACCGGAUUAGAUACCCGGGUAGUCCCAGCCGUAAACGAUGCUCGCUAGGUGUCAGGUGCGGUGCGACCGCAUCUGGUGCCGCAGUGAAAACUUGAAGCGAGUCACCUGGGAAGUACGGUCGCAAGGCUGAAACUUAAAGGAAUUGGCGGGGGAGCACUACAACGGGUGGAGCCUGCGGUUCAAUUGGAUUCAACGCCGGG
rnacentral:rRNA from 1 species